UUCUUCCUUGUCUUGGGGAGCAUGAAUGUCCAAUGAACGUCUAGUGAGGGCAUUUUUGCUGACACCAAACAUUUAACCCCGCAUCCACUUUAAGUGAGGUGCAAUUUUUGGGAGC